rnacentral:lncRNA from 1 species
CACAGCUUUUCUGGCACCUAAAUGCAACAAAACAUCAUUUAUAAACACAAUCUAUUAAUAUGGUUUUUGAACACUAUUAUUUGUUUACGGGCAUGAUAACUGUACUUUUAGUUUAUGGUAGACACAGCUUGUUCGCACAUUUUCCAAUUUUACCACUAGUUAUGAACGCAACAUGAGUUUCUACAUCCCCCUCUCUUGUUAAAUAAAAGUGCCACCACUGAAAUACGCCUGUUACUUCCUGCCUCGUUGGGUGUUUGUCUGUCUUUUUCGAAACCAUCAUAGAGCAUUUUCAUUUAAUGCAAGAUAUUGGACCUGUUUCCCAACCCAGAGUACCACUGCACACCUGCCUGUCUACCAGCCCAGAUCAGCCCACAGUACCACUGCUGUUCACCUGCUUGUCUAUCUGUCCACGAUGAAGCUCAUCUUGACUCUCUCUCUCAUCUGCAUUCACUUCUGCUCAGUUGAGAUGCUGCAGUGUUUCAACUGUACUGAUGCAGCAUGUACAAACUCUUCUUUAGUUACCUGUCCAUCCUCAAAUGAAAGAUGUCUCACUGCAACCAGAACCAUACAAGGUCCCGAUAAUACCACCGUGGUACUCAAAAUGUGUUCACCAUCCUCCAUCUGUGUAACUCCUCUUAACACUGAAGUCACAGUGUCAGGGAACUUGGGCAUCAUAAGGGCUGCCUCUAACCAGCUCUGCUGUAACACCAAUGGGUGCAACAAGGAAACUCUGUCUGCCCCGAGUUCACUGGCUAACGGAAGACAAUGUACCUCUUACAGCAGCUUCCAAGGCGUUGUGCAUAACAGCACUGUGGCCUGCCUGGGGGUGGAGGACCAGUGCUUGAGCUUCAGCGGCAAUGUACUUGGCUCAAUCAAUUAUAUGGUGAACAUCCAGGGCUGUACAUCUACCAACGUGUGCAACUAUAUUGAUCAACUGCUGCCCUCAAGUUACAUCAACUUUGUGCAAUUCACCUGUAACACAGCCCCUUUACCUGUAACUGUAACCAAAGCCCAUAACACAGCCUGGUCCAUUAGACUGAGCCUAGUCCCUCUGCUGCUGGGCCUCACUAUCAGCAAACUCAUCUGAUAUAAACAGAGAUGAACAUAUCGGGACUCAUCUGACAACAUAAUGCAUUGAUUACAAAACAACAGAAUGUACAAUGAUUUUUAUGUAUUGUGAAAUACGUACUAUAAUUGAAAAUCUGUUGUUUAUAUGGAAUUUGCCAGAUGAUGCCCUGUGACAUUAUAUAUGCUUGCUUGAGGAAAUACUUUCUUAUAUAUUAUUCUGUAUAUUUGAUAAAGUGGGAUUGCUUGUAAGUUUAAAACAAAUAAUCUGUCAAUGCCAAUAAAGUUUCUAUCACUUUACCAAAAUGGAAAUAAAGUGUUAUCUUAUUGUGAACGUAAACCAAUCACACAAUAUUUUUUAUUUUAUUAGGAAUUAAUGCUUAUUUGAUUUUUUAACAGAUAGGGAUAAUAGCUAAUUAACACUCUUAAAUCCAAAUAAUAACAGAGUGUAUGGGAGAACCUAAUCAUACAGAAUGCUACCGUCCAAACAGAAAAUAAACUUAGACAGUCUUUUUUAUUUGACUUAGUGGAUUCAGUUUCUCUCUACACUUCUUCUACAGAGGAGAGGAAAACCUGCCGGGGAACAGGAUGUGUCUAUAAAGGAGAGGAAGGUGUGGUCUGCCGUGAAGCGUUCCACUUGGAUCAUACAGAAUGGCACCAUGCCAGCAGUGGCAGCCGCUGCCUUAUUCCCCUCCAUGUUUACCUCCACAAAGGCCUUAUGUGUCACGUGUAUAAUUGAUUGAUUGGAGACAGGCGCAGGAAUACGUAAUAGGGGGUUUAAAAUCGUGCAACAUUUCAACGUCCUGCUACUCAUGGCAGGAAUAUAGUUUAUGCAUAUUAUUAGUAUGUGUGGAUAGAAAACACUCUGAAGUCUCUAAAACUGGUUAAAUCAUGUCUGUGGCUUUAACAGAACGUGUUUAGGAGUAAAAAUCCAGAGGAAAACAAAAAGUCAUCCGCCAGUCUAUGUAUUGUCUACGGCGAAAAUAGAUACAGACCCGUUUACAAUGCCUACAGCUUCCACACAAUGUCGCCAGUACUGGCAUUUUAUUAGCAGUUUAUCCUUGGUGUGAUGACGAAUAGGCACUUCCUGUCUUGGGGUCCACCGAAGGAAGUUAUGAAAGGGAAAAUAUGGACGAUGAUUUCAAGACUUGCUGCUAUCGAAUACAGAUCGCCCCGUGAUAAAUUUUAUCGAUUAUUAACGUUUAUUAAUACCUAAAGUUGGUUUACAAAAGUAGUUUGAAGUGAUUUGUAAAAGUUUAUAGGCAACUUUUAGUAAUUUUAUACAAUGACGUUGCGUUUUGGAAAGGCGCUUUUUCCUG